rnacentral:ncRNA from 1 species
CCAACCUGCGGCUGGCGCGCACCGAUGGCCUGGUGUUCCGGGCCGUGCUGGGCAUCAGCUGGAUGUGGUUCUUCGGGGCCGUGUUCCUGGCGGAAUUCCCGGUGCUGGCCAAGGAGGUGCUG